GCGCACCGUAGGCGCUUUGUAAAUUAGAGGUGAAAAGCCCGGGGGCUCAACUCCGGAAUUACCUUUUAAGAAUGCCAUCGCUUGAAUCCAGGAGAAGGUGAGUGGAAUUCCGAGUGUAGAGGUGAAAAUUUGGUAGAUAUUUGGAAGAACACCAGUGGCGAAGGCGGGCUCACUGGACUGGGUAUUGACGCUGAGGUGCGAAAGCGUGGGGGAGCAAACAGGAUUAGAUACCCUGGUAGUCCCCGCCGUAAAACGAUGAUAACUAGCUGUCCGGGCACUUGGUGCUUGGGUGGCGCAGCUAACGCAUUAAGUUAUCCGCCUGGGGAGUACGGUCGCAAGAUUAAAACUCAAAGGAAUUGACGGGGGCCUGCACAAGCGGUGGAGCAUGUGGUUUAAUUUGAAGCAACGCGCAGAACCUUACCAGCGUUUGACAUGUCCGGACGAUUUCCAGAGAUGGAUUUCUUCCCUUCGGGGACUGGAACACAGGUGCUGCAUGGCUGUCGUCAGCUCGUGUCGUGAGAUGUUGGGUUAAGUCCCGCAACGAGCGCAACCCUCGCCUUUAGUUACCAUCAUUUAGUUGGGUACUCUAAAGGAACCGCCGGUGAUAAGCCGGAGGAAGGUGGGGAUGACGUCAAGUCCUCAUGGCCCUUACGCGGUGGGCUACACACGUGCUACAAUGGCAACUACAGUGGGCAGCAAUCCCGCGAGGGUGAGCUAAUCUCCAAAAGUUGUCUCAGUUCGGAUUGUUCUCUGCAACUCGAGAGCAUGAAGGCGGAAUCGCUAGUAAUCGCGGAUCAGCAUGCCGCGGUGAAUACGUUCCCAGGCCUUGUACACACCGCCCGUCACACCAUGGGAGUUGGGUUCACCCGAAGGCGUUGCGCUAACUCGCAAGAGAGGCAGGCGACCA
rnacentral:rRNA from 1 species